rnacentral:lncRNA from 1 species
AAUUGUCUUGAGCAGAAGAUCCUGGCAACAUGGUGAGCACCUAGGGAUUUAGGGAAGCCACUCUAGCACUCUGGCAUUGACUGUCCUGGCAGGAGACAGAUGACAUCAGUUACUGGAGUUCCCUGCUACAAUGGAGAUACGGCCAAGAGGCAAAAGCAAGCAGCAGAGAUGAGCCAGGGAGGAGGAGAGAGGCUGCAUUUCAUGAUCCGGUCAAAACCAGCCAUGGCACCCAGACAAGGUGCUCCGCAGCUUUCAAAGUGCAUCACAUCCAUUAUCUUCUGUGACCCACAGACAGGUCGGCAAAGCUGGCUGGUGUGA